UACGGAGGGUGCAAGCGUUGUUCGGAAUUACUGGGCGUAAAGCGUGCGCAGGCGGUUUUGUAAGACAGAUGUGAAAUCCCCGGGCUUAACCUGGGAACUGCAUUUGUGACUGCAAGGCUAGAGUACGGCAGAGGGGGGUAGAAUUCCACGUGUAGCAGUGAAAUGCGUAGAUAUGUGGAGGAAUACCGAUGGCGAAGGCAGCCCCCUGGGUCGAUACUGACGCUCAUGCACGAAAGCCAGGGGAGCGAACGGG
rnacentral:rRNA from 1 species